rnacentral:rRNA from 1 species
CUUUAUUUGAGAGUUUGAUCCUGGCUCAGGACGAACGCUGGCGGCGUGCCUAAUACAUGCAAGUUGAGCGCUGAAGGUUGGUACUUGUAC